rnacentral:tRNA from 1 species
GGCCCCAUCGUCUAGCCAGGUCUAGGACGGCAGGUUCUCAUCCUGUUAACAUCGGUUCGAAUCCGAUUGGGGUCA